GACGAACGCUGGCGGCGUGCUUAACACAUGCAAGUCGAACGGAAAGGCCCUUCUUUUGUGGGGUGCUCGAGUGGCGAGCGGGUGAGUAACACGUGAGUAACCUGCCCUUGGCUUUGGGAUAACUUCAGGAAACUUGGGCUAAUACCGGAUAGGAGCUCCUGCUGCAUGGUGGGGGCUGGAAAGUUUCGGCGGUUGGGGAUGGACUGGCGGCUUAUCAGCUUGGUGGUGGGGUAGUGGCUUACCAAGGCUUUGACGGGUAGCCGGCCUGAGAGGGUGACCGGCGACAUUGGGACUGAGGUACGGCCCAGAGUGCUACGGGAGGCAGCAGUGGGGAAUAUUGCACAAUGGGCGGAAGCCUGAUGCAGCAACGCCGCGUGCGGGAUGACGGCCUUCGGGUUGUAAACCGCUUUCGCCUGUGACGAAGCGUGAGUGACGGUAAUGGGUAAAGAAGCACCGGCUAACUACGUG
rnacentral:rRNA from 1 species